AUGGCAGAUGAGACUAGUGGCGGCCGAGGGAACCCUGGUCCGGCACUCACUCCGCCGGGGGAGAGCACAACUAUGUUUGCCUCACGCCCAAACGCAUCAUCAUCCUCUCCUUCGCAUGGCCGCAUCAGCCUAGAAGGAUAUUCAUGGCCGCUGCAGUUUGAAGCUGCAGUACCGUCGAGAAGGACGGGAGCGGCCAUGACGGACCACGGUGGCACUGCCGACGACUUGUCCCACAUAAAUCUCGCGGAUGAGAAUGGCUGUGCGCACGCCAUGAACUUGCAGGCCCCACACGUCAUGUCAGGAGGAGGAGUCCGGGAGGAUACGACCACCGCCAUGAUAGGAGAAGGAGGUCAACAGGACGACGGGGUCGCCGGUGUAGAGCAAAGAAUGCAGGCGAUUGAUAAAGUUGGACAAACAUUGAUUGUUCCAAAAGUUGGAUUGGCUUUCGAUUCAGAGGACAGCGCUUAUGAUAUGUACAACGCAUAUGCCCCCAAGGUUGGGUUCAGUGUCAGAAAAAGUCACACAAAGCGACGAGGUGAUAAAAGUAUAUCUCAAAAAUAUAUAGUUUGCAGUAACGAAGGCCAUCGAGAUACCCAAUCAUCUAAGGACACUGCAAGGACAGGUUGUGAGGCUCGUAUUCAGUUUAGUGUCAACAAGGAUGGUAUUUGGACAGUGCAAAAGCUUAUAACCGAGCACAAUCAUUAUCUUGCUAGUCCCAAUAAGGUGCACAAGCUGAGGUCCCAAAGACGUGUUAUAGAAGCGGAUAGACAUCUAAUUGGCCAGAUACGGGAAGCCGGGAUGAAGCCAUCCCAGGUAUAUGACUUUAUGAUAGCAUUUUACGGAGGACCCGACAAAGUACCAUUCUCAAAGAUGGACUGCAAUAAUGAGAUUGGUCGCGAGCGCAAGAAGUAUUUAGAAUCAAAUAAUGCACAGACACUGUUGGAAUACUUGAAAAAUAAGCAAAGAGAGGAUCCUACAUUUUUUAUGCCAUUCAGAUAG
rnacentral:rRNA from 1 species